UGAAACACCAGUCAUAGCUUCUA
rnacentral:siRNA from 1 species